rnacentral:rRNA from 1 species
UACGGAGGGUGCAAGCGUUAUCCGGAAUUACUGGGCUUAAAGGGUGCGUAGGCGGAUUUUUAAGUCCGAGGUGAAAUCUCCGAGCUUAACUCGGAAACUGCCUUGGAUACUAUAAGUCUUGAUUGACGUUGAGGUUAGCGGAAUAUGUCAUGUAGCGGUGAAAUGCUUAGAGAUGACAUAGAACAUCGAUUGCGAAGGCAGCUAACUAAGCGGAUAUUGACGCUGAUGCACGAAAGCGUGGGGAGCAAACAGG